AGAACAAAGGGGGGGAUGGGAUUCAGGGAUCUACAUAGUUUUAACCUUGCUUUGUUGGCCAAGCAAGUAUGGAGAUUAUUGGAAAAUCCAGAUUCUUUGUGUGCGCAGGUCCUUAGAUCGAAAUACUACCCGGACGGGAAACUUUUGGAAGCGAAGAUGAAGAGUGGAUGUUCAUUCACAUGGCAGAGUAUAUGUGCUGGCAUUCAUACCUUCAAAAGAGGGGCCAUUUGGAGGAUAGGCGAUGGAUCACAAGUUAAUAUUUGGUCUGACCCAUGGAUAGCAGCGAGUGCGGAUGGACGUGUAGUCACCCCGAGAGGAGCAAAUCUGUUGUCAAAGGUAUCUAACCUGAUCGACCCGGCAACAGGAGUGUGGGAUCAUGAGCUUAUCAUGGAUAUGUUCUGGCAGGUGGAUGCGGAGAGAAUCCUUGCUAUUCCGCUGGCGCCGCCAGGAGUGAUGGAUGAUUUUGUGGCAUGGAGGUUCACAAAGAACAACAUAUUCACGGUUAGGUCGGCAUAUCAUGCAGAGUGGGAUCAUCAGUUCGGACAUUGGUUUGAGUGAACGGAAGGCCAACCAUCACAACAAUAUCCAGUCUAGGCAAAAUUGUGGGAAUCUUCACUGCCGGGUAAAGUGAAGAUACAUGCAUGGAAAGUGCUGCAUGGGUUUUUGCCAUGCUUUGGAGUCCUUGCGAACCGUCAUAUAGCGAUGCCCAAGAGCUGUCCAAUGUGUGCAGGAGGAUGCGAGGAUAUAAAGCAUGUGCUGUUUACUUGUCCAAGGGCGGCUGAGAUAUGGAGAUGCCUGAAGUUGGAUGGCUUUGUG
rnacentral:rRNA from 1 species